rnacentral:rRNA from 1 species
UCCGGGGGGGGCAAGCGUUGUUCGGAAUUACUGGGCGUAAGGGGCUCGUAGGUGGCCAACUAAGUCAGACGUGAAAUCCCUCGGCUUAACCGGGGAACUGCGUCUGAUACUGGAUGGCUUGAGUUUGGGAGAGGGACGCGGAAUUCCAGGUGUAGCGGUGAAAUGCGUAGAUAUCUGGAGGAACACCGGUGGCGAAGGCGGCGUCCUGGACCAACACUGACACUGAGGAGCGAAAGCCAGGGGAGCAAACGGG